GCGGAGGGCCGGACGGCCGCUUCGUCCCGCGUCUUCGGGCCGGGACGGGGAGGAAAGUCCGGACUCCCUGAGGCAACGGUGCCGGGUAACGCCCGGGCAGGGCAACCUGACGGACAGCGCCACAGAAAACAGACCACCGCCGGGCAACCGGCGGCCAGGGUGAAACGGUGGGGUAAGAGCCCACCGGGGGACGGGCAACCGGACCCGCACGGCAAGCCCCACCGGGAGCAAUGCCAAAUAGGGACCUCGCGCGGGCUGAUCCUUUCGGGGAUAUCGCCGCAGGGCCGCUUCAGCCCGAGGGGUCCGGGUUGGCAGCUUGAGCCGCUCCGCGAGGGGCGGCCCAGAGGAAUGGUCGUCUGGGACGGGCUCGCCCGUCCGACACAGAAUCCGGCUUACAGGCCCUCCGCGCAU
rfam:Roseivivax lentus strain DSM 29430 genome assembly, contig: Ga0111641_111